GUAAGGAAUAUUGGACAAUGGGCGCAAGCCUGAUCCAGUCAUGCCGCGUGCAGGAAGACGCAUCUAUGGUGUGUAAACUGCUUUUGUACGGGAAGAAACACUCCCUCGUGAGGGAGCUUGACGGUACCGUAAGAAUAAGGAUCGGCUAACUCCGUGCCAGCAGCCGCGGUAAUACGGAGGAUCCAAGCGUUAUCCGGAAUCAUUGGGUUUAAAGGGUCCGUAGGCGGUUUAAUAAGUCAGUGGUGAAAGCCCAUCGCUCAACGAUGGAACGGCCAUUGAUACUGUUAGACUUGAAUUACAAGGAAGUAACUAGAAUAUGUAGUGUAGCGGUGAAAUGCUUAGAUAUUACAUGGAAUACCAAUUGCGAAGGCAGGUUACUACUUGUGGAUUGACGCUGAUGGACGAAAGCGUGGGGAGCAAACAGGAUUAGAUACCCCUGUAGUCC
rnacentral:rRNA from 1 species